AAGAAGUGCAGAAAUUUAUAAUAAUUCAAAAACUACUACAUGACUACCCAAAAUCUGGUGUCAUAAUCCACGAACUUCUAAGAAUCACUACAAAUACUGGUUUUAAGAAAAUACAUCUAUUCUCAAAAUAAAAGAAAAAUGGGAAACUAGGAUAACUGGAAGGGGACUCUAGGGUCUGCGAAUGCCGGCAGAUCUAUAUUGGCUAUCAUGUGGACUGAAGGCACCAACCCAACCCUGGUCAAUGCAGUCCAGUACCAGAAUUUGCACAGAAAGUGCAGAGUGUAGUAUCAGUACAAACGACCACAUGUACUGAUAAGUGUUGAUCCUAACCUCGGUGAAGUAGUGACAAGGCUAGGACACGACAAUAACAUGAACCUGUACAUUUAAAUCAUAUACGAGAAGAUAACAACAAAUGAAAAUUUAGCAUAUAUUAAUGGGAAGGGGGAGAAACAUGCUCGGAGGAAUAUCAAUUCUUGAAAUAGUAUAGUAAAAAACGCAAUAAAUAACAUGCCUUACACCUAUGAAAGUAAUAACACAGCAAACAAGUGCAUGGCAUCACCUUUCGUGUUUUUACUCGCAUUCUAAUCAUAAAAAGCAACAGAAACGGCACAGCAUCACCCUUCGUACAUUAGCUCGCUCAUAACAUGGCACGGCAUCAACCUUCGUGCAUUAACUCUCUCAUAGAAUACGGCACAGCAUCACCCUUUGUGCAUUAUCACUCACAAAAUACGGCACAACAUCACCCUUCAUGCAUUAUCACUCACUCACAAUACAUUGCACGACAUCACCCUUCGUGAUUUACACUCUUCCUCACCCAAACAACAGAACAAUAAUAACCCGGCAAGGAAAUCAUCAAUAACCAACCUCGUUUCAAUAAUUAACUUCACAAUAUAAAUCUCAACUUAAGUCAAUAAUCAACCAAUAUCUAAUUCCAGGAAAAACAUGAUAAGAUUUGUUUAACAUGAAGAAUAUCCAGUUUAAGCAUGAACAGUACGAAUAAAGAAUACAACAGUCACAAGUAAUAGACUCACUCGCAUGCUAUGACUCGAUGACAACGUAUACGUACUCCUCACCUCACCUAUACGUCGUACUCAACAACCAAACACAUAGCAAAUAAGGCAACAACAUCUAAUCCCUCAAGCUAAGGUUAGCCACAACACUUACCUCGAUUCCACGGCCGAACUCAAGCCUCAAUCGCCGCUUUUCCCUUAGUUUCCACCUCCGAACCACUCGUAUCUAGUCAUAAUUAACUUAAUAAUAUCAAUUAUCGCUAAAGAAAUCAAUCCCAAUGCACAAUUACAAGUUUCCCAACAUUUUUCCCAAAAAAGUCAAAAAUCGACCCUAGGCCCGCUUGGUCAAAACUCGAGGUUCGAACCAAAACCCAUUCAUCCAU
rnacentral:lncRNA from 1 species